UGCUCCUUGUAUAGACAUGUGGCUGUUUUCUCACUCUGAUUGCCCACUUUGUCGUGCCCGAGUUGUCGCUGCUCCACCUCCCUUCUGCCGGCGACAUCAUGAGGAAGCUACGCCUGAUAACUCUCAAGAUAAUUUGCUGGGUGCAAACCUUCAUUUCAUGCCUUUCGUCUAGACUUUUGGCUGUAUUGCUAACCAGGUUGUCCUCUUUGUCCGCAGAGCCGGAAAAUUCUUGGGAUUUUUUUUCCUUCUGUAUUUGUUGAUUAGGUAGGAAAAUUUGGAAAACUAUGCGUGUCUUCUCUUGAAGACCUGAGUAUGAUGAUUACUGUGAUUGUUUGGUUUGGUCAACCAUUUUCCAAUAGAUGCGUAGUGGGUUGUCG
rnacentral:misc_RNA from 1 species